UGGGGAAUAUUGCACAAUGGGCGAAAGCCUGAUACAGCAACGCCGCGUGAGUGAUGAAGGCCUUCGGGUUGUAAAGCUCUGUCUUCUGGGACGAUAAUGACGGUACCAGAGGAGGAAGCCACGGCUAACUACGUGCCAGCAGCCGCGGUAAUACGUAGGUGGCAAGCGUUGUCCGGAUUUACUGGGCGUAAAGGAUGCGUAGGCGGAUACUUAAGUCAGAUGUGAAAAUCCCGGGCUUAACUUGGGAACUGCAUUUGAAACUGGGUAUCUAGAGUGCGGGAGAGGAAAGUGGAAUUCCUAGUGUAGCGGUGAAAUGCGUAGAGAUUAGGAAGAACACCAGUGGCGAAGGCGACUUUCUGGACCGUAACUGACGCUGAGGCAUGAAAGCGUGGGGAGCAAACA
rnacentral:rRNA from 1 species